rnacentral:lncRNA from 1 species
AUACCUGGUUGGUCACGUCCCCCGGGAGGCCUCGGAUCAGUAUCUUGCGGCGGUUACGGAACUGGCGCUCGGUGUGUUCCAAGCGUUUCCGGAUCUCUUCCGGAUCGAGCGGCGGCAACUCUUGUUCGGGCGCCCGGCGAUCGACGGUCUCGGGAGUUUCCGCUUCGGCCUCCGCCUCCGGGCUCAGCGGCGGCCGGCUGAUCUUCAAUACCUACAUUCAAGCAAUCCAGCUGCCUCAGCGUUCCAAGCAACUGGAAGUACAGAUCAACAGUACCAGCAGACUGAACAUCCUGUCCUGCUUCUGGAAGGUCAGCGGGGCUCCCAUGGUCCUCUGUCUACCUCAGGCUGGCCUUACCGGCUUCCUGACUGCUGAAGCAGGAGUCACUGACUCUCUCCUUCAAUAACCUUCCGACAAUCUGAAGGCUACGCUGAGGCGCAGUCAGGAGCACUCAGCUGCUAUCACAGCGCGUCAGAGGGAGGCGGGAGGGUCAGGAAAUCAAGGGCAUCCUCAGACAUGUAAGGUACUGAAGGACAGCUAGGGCUACACAAGAUCCUGUCUCGGGAGACCGCUCAAGGGUAAAAGGCGCUUCCUGCCAAGCCUUGCCACCUGAGCAUUAUCCCUGGCACCCACAUGAUGGAAGGAUAGAACUGACCAAAAAAGCUGUCCUCUGAGCUACACAAGUGCCACGUGCAUCCCUACCAAAAAUAAAGUAAGAUCAAGCC